rnacentral:rRNA from 1 species
UACGUAGGGGGCGAGCGUUGUCCGGAGUUACUGGGCGUAAAGCGCACGCAGGCGGUCUGCUAAGUUUGGAGUGACAGUUGGUGGCUUAACUGCCAAAGUGCUUCGAAAACUGACAGACUUGAGGGCUUCAGAGGGACACGGAAUUCCGGGUGUAGCGGUGGAAUGCGUAGAGAUCCGGAAGAACACCGGUGGCGAAGGCGGCCUGCUGGGCUAUGGCUGACACUGAGGCGCGACAGCGUGGGGAGCAAACAGG